rnacentral:rRNA from 1 species
AUUGAACGCUGGCGGCAUGCCUUACACAUGCAAGUCGAACGGCAGCACGGGAGCUUGCUCCUGGUGGCGAGUGGCGAACGGGUGAGUAAUACAUCGGAACGUACCCUGAAGUGGGGGAUAACGUAGCGAAAGUUACGCUAAUACCGCAUAUUCUGUGAGCAGGAAAGAGGGGGAUCGCAAGACCUCUUGCUUUAGGAGCGGCCGAUGUCGGAUUAGCUAGUUGGUGAGGUAAAGGCUCACCAAGGCGACGAUCCGUAGCGGGUCUGAGAGGAUGAUCCGCCACACUGGGACUGAGACACGGCCCAGACUCCUACGGGAGGCAGCAGUGGGGAAUUUUGGACAAUGGGCGCAAGCCUGAUCCAGCCAUGCCGCGUGAGUGAAGAAGGCCUCGGGUUGUAAG